rnacentral:rRNA from 1 species
CCCUUAGAUGUCCUGGGCUGCACGCGCGCUACACUGGAAGUUCCGGAUUGAGAUACUACCUUGUCCGAAAUGGUCCGGGUAAUCACCUAAAAGCUUGUCAUAAUUGGAAUGGAUUAUUGUAACUAGUAAUCCUGAACGAGGAAUUCCUAGUAAGUCCCAGUCAACAGCUGGUACUGAUUACGUCCCUGCCCUUUGUACACACCGCCCGUCGCUACUACUGAUUGGACGUUUAAGCAAGAUUUUUAAACACUGACAGUGUGUAGUUCACGCUAUACUACAGUGAGAAGAAGAAGAUCGAGCUUACUUGUCUAGAGGAAGUAAAAGUCGUAACA